rnacentral:rRNA from 1 species
AGCGAACGCUGGCGGCAGGCUUAACACAUGCAAGUCGAACGGGCACUUCGGUGCUAGUGGCAGACGGGUGAGUAACACGUGGGAACGUACCUUUCGGUUCGGAAUAAUACAGGGAAACUUGUACUAAUACCGGAUACGCCCUUCGGGGGAAAGAUUUAUCGCCGAUAGAUCGGCCCGCGUCUGAUUAGCUAGUUGGUGAGGUAACGGCUCACCAAGGCGACGAUCAGUAGCUGGUCUGAGAGGAUGAUCAGCCACACUGGGACUGAGACACGGCCCAGACUCCUACGGGAGGCAGCAGUGGGGAAUAUUGGACAAUGGGCGAAAGCCUGAUCCAGCCAUGCCGCGUGUGUGAUGAAGGCCUUAGGGUUGUAAAGCACUUUUGUCCGGGAAGAUAAUGACUGUACCGGAAGAAUAAGCCCCGGCUAACUUCGUGCCAGCCGCCGCCGUAAAAC